AUUAAACACCUGGUAGGAAGGCAGGACCAACCCAGGGGAGCAGAAGGGGGGGAGCCAGACCUUAUUUAAGGGUUGGCAGUGGAAGCAAGGGUAUCUGGAGAUUCUUGCGUGCUUGAGGUCUUCUGAAGGUGCUUUUCUCAGGCUGUUUGCCAAAGGUGGUCCAUAAGAACACUCCCACACCUUCCUAGCAGGCUUCUAUUUUGCACCCUUCCCACUGUAAAUGUGAAAGCUUCAGGUACAAUGGCAACAGCCAAUUUGGAUGUCUGCAAAAAAGAGAGAGACUUCAAUUUAUUACCCCACAACUCUGUCUAAAGACCCAAAUCCGUCAAAUCAGAAACCUGCUGGAAGAAUUCUGUGCUCGUCAACAUUUUUGUGAACUGUUCCAGAAUGCGAAUGUUAGCUGAUUCAUUUCAAACUGUUUCAGACAAUAUUGUUUGGAGCUGUUUUUCUCAGAAAGGCAAUGGAAUAUUUUGAAAGGAAUAUUACUGGAAGCCUGAUAUAUUUUUCAUAGGCUGAGAAAUUAAAAAAAAAAAUAAAAAAUACAGCAAUCUGGAGAGAUUUUGUUUUGGUCAAUAUUAUUUUGUUUGCACUUCUAGCAUUCUCUUAAUUUGUCUUGAUUACUUAUUUUAAACACUUAAUGAUACUUAGUGAUGAUAUUUGAACUUCGUGUCAUAGAAUUGGUUGCAUUUUAUUAGUGUUCUUCAGUCGAUCCAGAAUUUCAUCUCUAUCUCAGACUUUUCUCUAACCUGAGAUAUUCUGCAUCUCCACAGUGCAAUACCUCUCAGAAAUAUCAAAUAGUUAGG